CGAGUGGAGUAGGCAAAAUGUUUAGUGUUUGAACCAGUUUUGAAAUAUCCAUGGAUAUGUCUGCUGGGGAUGCAACACCACGAUCAACUGAUGAUGAAGGUACUGGCUUAAUCAAGGCAGUAUUGUAUCCUCUAAUAUCUGCCACAUCCUCAGCCAUUUGAACACGAGAAACCCUGUCUGGUCCACCAACGUUUAGAAGCAGCUGCAUUUGCUUGCGCUCCGACAUCCAUAUGUUUGUCAAAGACAGUAUGAUAGCUAUGACAUCCUUGACAUACACAGGGCAGCGGAACUCAUCGUGGAAAAACUCUGCCGGUUCUCCUUUGGAGAGGAUAGCAUCAAUCCACUGAAUUGGAAGAGAUUUUGGAACAGGUGAAAUAGUCUGUGGCCCAAAGAUGAUACUGCUUCUCAGAAUUGCAAAGUUUGAACAUUUCUCAUAAAUAAAUUGCUCUGCUGCCACUUUUGAUUUUCCAUACACAUUCACAGGAGCAGUUUCAUCUUCUUCCUUGUAGAAGGAUUUCACCCCUUCAUAAACUUGAUCAGUUGAUAAAUGGAUAAGAAGACUCUCUCUUUCUUGAAAGCUUGAUAGCCAAUUUACAAGGGAGCGAGGUACAUUUAUAGACAUAGCAGUGGCAGGAUCCUUUUCACACGCACGAGGUACUGAGAUUGCAGCACAAUUCACAACAACAUGAGGCUGGCCAAAUUGAUGUGAGAUGGCUUGAAAUCCCUCUCCGGAUUGCAAAUCGACAUGGAAAGCGAGGGAGUGAGGAAUGGCAUCGAGCAAGAGCUGAGGAGGAGUGGAACUGGAGUGGUGGGUGAAGGCAAGAUUAAAAGGGCUGUCUUUGAUCUGUGAAAGGCCUUGCAAUAGGUGUUGCCCUAAGUAGCCUGUUCCUCCUAUUACCAACACUUUGUUCUUACUCUCCAUCUGUCUCUCCAGGAGGAAAUGCCGCUGAAUUGCACUCUAAGCUUGAGUAAGGCCCU
rnacentral:misc_RNA from 1 species